GACAUAUAUACCGCUGGCACCGCCUCCCUCCUUCCUUUUGCUGAGCGGGCCCCGGCGGGGAGGUGGCGGCGCGGCGCGGCUGGCCAUGAUACAUCAAGCAAGUUCUUCCCUCACUGGUAACUAUAAAACUGCAGACCUGAUGCCACUUGCUAAGGAUUUAAUGGAGGAAGUUGGAAGCCCCAGAGAAGGAAGGUUCUCUGGCCUGAAAGGUGAAUCCUGAUGAUGAAAGGCUGUGUUAAACAGAUUGGCUUUGGAUGACCACUGCCUAAUCUGUGGAGAUGAUGAUUCAGCUUGAACACAGUUCCAUAUUGUUUGCAGGGAGAGUAGAGCACAGGACACUUCACACACAAGGCUUCGAAGGGGUGCUUGGGUAUCCUGACUGGGAUGACUUGGAUGUACGGAGUGCUGCUAUUAGCAGUGGUCCUGGCCCUGUCUUGAAUAAACUUGGCAUUAAUAUUAGAAGAUGACAGAUGAUCAGGACAGCAUUUCAAGUGAGAGAACUGGAGCGCACACCUGGAAAAAGGAUCACUUUGCUGAGAGUAAAGCUGGUCAAACAUUUUAUGAAGCAAUCAGCCCACUGCCUGCCUGAGAGGGAGCAAGAUUGAUUUGAAUGGACAGUUGAGGAACCAGAAAGCAUAAGGAGUCUCUGGAUACACAUUCUGAUGUCUUAAGUUUUGCCCCCAGAAGAUAGUGCCCUUGCUUCUGAGGUGCUUGGGCAUAGCCAUGGAGGGGCCGGAGUCAAUCCUGCAGCAGUGGGUGUGUCAAGCUGAAGGGAAGCAGUCUCUCUGCCACCCCAUUUAGACUAAAAGUUUGGCCUGGAGUCCUUGUGCCACAGUCCUGCCUGCACUCGGAGCCUACCAGGACCAUUUAAGGGGCUUGCAAGCAUGUUGAAGGGGUGGAUGCAGCAGUGCCAGGAUCCUUGCUGUGUUCUACCCUUGCCACAAUAGGUGACAUCUUCUGGAUGAAGAGUCCUCUACAAAUUUGUGCAGAAAAGAUUUAAGUUCAGAAUGUCUCGCAGAAGCAUGUUACAAGUAGGGCAACAUUGACACACACACACUUUGGUCUCUUCUUAAAUAUCCAAUUAAGAAACUAGACCUGCUCUGAACCUGAACUUUUUUGCCAUAUGUGGUUUUUAACCAGCACUAAGUAGACUUUAGCAGUAAAAUAACAGCUGUCUAAAAAAUGUGCUAAAAUAAACUCAUCAGAAAUGA